UUCCUUUAGUAUAUAUUUAAAGGUAUUGCCUGCCCUAUGUUAAAAUAAAUGGCUGCGGUAUCUUAACUGCACUAAGGUAGCAUAAUUAAUUGUCUUUUAAAUGGUGACCUGUUUGAACGGCUUAAUGAGAAAAAAAUUUUCUUUUAAUUAUAAUAAAAUUAUAUUUCAAGGUUAAAAUACCUGAUUAUAAAAAAAAGACGAGAAGACCCUGUUGAGUUUUACAUUAAUAAUAAUGUUAAAAUGGGAAAUUUAACCUUUUUCUAAGGUUUAGUAGAUCCUGGAAUAAUAUAUUCUGGAUAUAGGAUAAAGUUACCACAGGGAUAACAGGACAAUAUUUGCUAAGAGUUCUAAUCGAAGUAAAUGGUUGUUACCUCGAUGUUGAAUCGAAAUAUCUUUUUGAUGCAGCAGUCAAAAAAGUGGGUCUGUUCGACCUUUUAAAUUUC
rnacentral:rRNA from 1 species